UUCCGGUUGAUCCUGCCGGACCCGACUGCUAUCAGAGUGAGAUUAAGCCAUGCGAGUUAACGUAGCAAUACGUGGCGCACGGCUCAGUAACACGUAGUCAACAUGCUCAGAGGACGUGGAUAACCUCGGGAAACUGAGUCUAAACCGCGAUAAGUGAGGAUUUCUGGAAUGGUUCCUGACUAAAAUCUAUAUGGCCUCUGGAUUGGACUGCGGCCGAUCAGGCUGUUGGUGAGGUAAUGGCCCACCAAACCUGUAACCGGUACGGGCUCUGAGAGGAGGAGCCCGGAGAUGGGCACUGAGACAAGGGCCCAGGCCCUAUGGGGCGCAGCAGGCGCGAAACCUCUGCAAUAGGCGAAAGCCUGACAGGGUUACUCUGAGUGACUUUCGCUAAGAAAGUCUUUUGGCACCUCUAAAAAGGGUGCAGAAUAAGGGGUGGGCAAGUCUGGUGUCAGCCGCCGCGGUAAUACCAGCACCCCGAGUGGUCGGGACGAUUAUUGGGCCUAAAGCAUCCGUAGCCGGUUCUGCAAGUCCCCCGUUAAAUCCAGCUGCUCAACAGAUGGGCCGCGGAGGAUACUACAGAGCUAGGAGGCAGGAGAGGCAAGCGAUACUCAGUGGGUAGGGGUAAAAUCCGUUGAUCCAUUGAAGACCACCAGUGGCGAAGGCGGCUUGCCAGAAUGCGCUCGACGGUGAGGGAUGAAAGCUGGGGGAGCAAACCGGAUUAGAUACCCGGGUAGUCCCAG
rnacentral:rRNA from 1 species